UCCCAGUUUGCAUUCUGCUGUUUCCCAGUGUUUCUUCUUCAGUUAUUUACCCAGUCAUGUUUUUUGACAACAAUAUGACAAUCUCUCCCUGACUGUUCACUCUACUUGAGACAACAGGAUGCUCCUUUCUGCUGCAGUCUGCGAGUUUGAUGUGAGGCUGCUGGGACAGACAGACGGACGAGCAGAUCAGCAGCACAAGGCCACAGGGGGAGAGGGCCCACACCCCCCACCCUGACGUCAGCAUGGCUACAACCACACUCAGUCUUCAAUCAGGUCCUCAGGAAACACCUGUUGUAAGAGAGGAGCACAUGAGCACAGAGAAUCAAACACUAAUGGUGGAAAUUCUUAAUCCAUCUUAAAUCCACAUUUGUUUUCCGCCCUUCCCUGUUCUCUGUCAGCCUGUCCAUCCAUUUCAAAUUAGUUUUGCCAGUCCUGCGGCUCAACGGCCCCUCUGCCGCUGCUGGGUGUCCAGCCCCUCAGUGUCAGCAGGAGUCGGUCACGGCUGAUUCACCUCAAAAGGACCGGGCCGCAAAAUCUUUCUAAUGCCGACUCUGAGACCGAGGGUGCCGUCUGCAGAGGCUCUUCAUGACUGAGGAGAGCCAUUGAGAGACGAGGCUGGGCCCAGUGCCAAACACGGGCGGUGAACUUUGAACUGCGAGCCACAUGAGGAGCCUUUGUGUCAACAUCAAAAUCCAUUUAUGUACAUGAAGUCUGCUCAAAGAUAAUUGUCUGAUGGUGAUGUGCACGUGGUUUUAGCAAAGGCCCAUUCAAAAAUUGUCUGGGGACUUAGCAGGUAUCUACAAUGUAUUGCAGAUCAACCAAACCAAGAGUUUUUUAAUCAUGUAAACAGACAAUAUUAAAUUAAUUACUUGCUAUUA